rnacentral:rRNA from 1 species
UACGUAGGGUGCAAGCGUUGUCCGGAAUUAUUGGGCGUAAAGAGCUCGUAGGCGGUCUGUCGCGUCGGAUGUGAAAACCCGGGGCUUAACCCCGGGCCUGCAUUCGAUACGGGCAGACUCGAGUGUGGUAGGGGAGACUGGAACUCCUGGUGUAGCGGUGAAAUGCGCAGAUAUCAGGAAGAACACCGGUGGCGAAGGCGGGUCUCUGGGCCACUUCUGACGCUGAGGAGCGAAAGCGUGGGGAGCGAACAGG